CCAAUGGCUGUGUGAAGCGUCUAGUGUGGUAGCUUAACUUGUUGCCACCGCUGGCUAGCAUCUGUGAAAGGGGAGCAAUUUUGUAAGUCUCUCUUGCCAGUACAUAGCCUCUCCACAGCAAGUCCUAUGCAGUACCUCCUCGUGGUGGCAGAUGGAAACUGAGGCUGCGAAGCCUUAGGCUAAACUGCAAGGGUCUCGGAGGAGGUUUGGCCCCAAGAUGUGAGGCAGGCAUGGCCCGUCGGCGUGCGGACACGCCCUGUUGCCCACAAACCAAACCCCUAGCUAUAGGUCAAUAGCCGCACUGCCUUGUGUGUGUGUCCCUGUAAGGUCUAAGGCUAAGGGAGUAAACCCUAACAGAAAAUCCGGUCCUGGAGCCCCGUAGGCGGGGGGACAGUAGUAAGACUACUGCUCUCUGGCAAACUCCUGCAGCCACCUGUCCCCAAAUUGUGAUGGCUCGCCAUCCCUUUGGACCCGGUCAGUAUGGAAGAGAGGCGGGUGCUGACGUGUGGGCAGCCCAGCACUCGCAAAUUUACCGCCCAGGCUUUCCCCCAGCAAUGGAGAGGUCACUCCAUCUCUGCUGGUGAUUUUAUAUGCCCAACCUGUGAUCGCAGCUGUGUAUCAAGGAUUGGCCUCUUUAGUCACACAAGAAGUUGCAAAGGGAAAAGAUCGUCUCGCGAGACGUAAAAUGCCACAGAGAUCUAGAUCUAGACCACAAUGGGUCGAGUUGCAGGCGCAACAUUGCUUUAUAAAUCUUUUAAAUAUUAAUGUGCUUUACCUAUUAUUGUGUUAUUUAUGACAGGUUCUCAAACAUUUUUGACCCGCGGACCCCUUUAUAUAAUAAUAUAUAAUAUUUAAUAAUAUAUAGUGCAAGGAUCCCUAAGUGUAAAAGCUAAAUAAAUGCAUAUUAAAUAUGUAACAAAUGUAAUAAAACAACAUUUUGUUGAAUGAGCAUUUAUUGAGAUAAGAGCUCUUGUAAAUAUCAACAGCAAGGUAACGUGCCUCCAACGGAUAACAAGCCACAUUGAAAUAGAAGGCAAUGAAAAAGCAGACAUAUUGGACAAAGAGGGGGGGAUGACUAAACAGUCCCUUUCUACCCGGGAGAAAUGGAAAAAAAAAGUUGAAAAAGGAGAAAUGGAUCAGCUUUCUCGCAAAGAUGAAGAAAAUGAUGCCUAUUACUAGCUAUCCCAACAAGAUGGCUGCCUGGUCGUGCGGUUUGCGCGCUGGACUAUCGUUCAGAUUUAUCGAUGGUCCCGGGUUCAAACCCUGUCCGCUCCCAUCCCCCGUCGUCCUGCGGGAGGUUUGGACUAGAAAGUAAUUAUCUUCAACUCUGAAGGAACAUCCGAAAUAUGUAAAACAUUUUACAAACAAACAGACCAACAUAUAUUUUGUCUCAGAACCGGACACAGCUGAAUGAGGCAACACAUUUUCCGGAAGCUGAAAAUUGGGACUAGUGAGAUUUGCCAUCGUGGAGCAUCACCAGAGAAUGCUGACCAUGUCCUUCAAAGCUGCAAACUCUGUCGAGAGCCCCGAACAUGACAUUAGCUACAAAAACUCCCUAGGAAUACUUGUGGCUGCUUGAUCGUGUGGUGUGCUUUGUUCUCCGCACUUUUCCUGAAGUUGACGGAUGAAGAAAAUCAUGUCAAUUGUGGAUCUCCCUCUGCGAAAGCCGCACCGUGAUUCUGGAUAUACCCCAUCAGCGAGUUUUUUGUAGCCUGGGAAGUAUCACUCGAGCAAAGAGUUUGCCUACAAUACUUAGGAGGGGAAUUCUCCUGUAAUUGUUGCAUAUGCUUCUGUCAGCUUUGUUCUUGUACAUUAAUAAUUGUUAAUUAAUAAUUUGUAAUUAAUUAUUUUGUUUGGUAUCUCGAACAAGGGAAAGAAAUUAUGCUUGACUGAUAAGGUCGUAUACGUUGAAUUAAUCCCCUUUAUUGUUUGUAGAAUGAAAAGUUUGUAAAUAACUAUGAAACCUAUUUUCAUAAGCAGCUCCAUGGCACAGUGGUUAGCGUGUUGGCUAGAGGAGGCUGAGGAGGUCUUGAGGCCUCGAGUUCAAAUUUGGUCUCUCACUUUUUUAAAGUGAUCAUCCAGAUACCCCCUUCCUCCUCCUCUCUCACUCUCUCUUUCACUCACUCUCUCUCUCUCUCACUCUCUCUCUCACUCUCUCUCUCUCACUCUCUCUUUCUCUCUCUCUCUCUCUCUCUCUCUCUCUCUCUCUCUCUCUCUCCAUGAAAUAAACACUGACGAUGAAAUAAACACUAAACAUGAAAUGUUCAGAAAUUUAUAUAAAUUCAACAUGUUUGAUUUAUUAACUAGUAUAUUAAUCAAUAUUAAAAGAAUAGAUCUAUAGCAACGUGUACACACAAUUCAUUGGAGGUUCUCAUGCUAAAAGCUUACUCACGUAUACUAGCUGUUAGUUCACAAUUUGACUUGUAAUUUGUUUCUACGGUCAAUCCAUAGACUACAUCAGUGGUUCCCAAACUUUUUCCUUUUCAAAACACUUUACACAUUCCGACUAUUUAUUAAAACAAUUUAAUUACAUGUUUCAGAGAGAUUAAUUCACGUGGUGGACUACUAGUUAAUUAUUCCAGUAGUUUGGGGAACAUCUACUCAGGCCUCGCAGAGUACUAGGGUUCCGCGGAACACAGUUUGGGAGACACUGGACUUUAUUAUAUAAUAUAGUCUACGGGUCACACUAGAGAGUGCACAAAAGUGAGUACAUGGUUUAAAAAAAAAUGGCGAUUCUGACAAAGAGUUCAUCCCAGUAAUCUGUUCACUGUUUGCACUUUGAUUUUUAAAUAUCCCGUAUGGUUUCUUUGAGCAAUUAAAUUCAGUAAGAGAGGAAAAGUGAUACGAAGAAAUGCGUGGCGACAUAAUGAAACUUCAAAAAAAAAAAGUAAGAAAACAAUGUCAAGGAUGCCAGGAUGAAAGGUCACUGUUGACAGCUAAUUGAUACAACUGACUUUGUGUUCCAACAUCUAAGCAAGGGUUUAUGUAAAUACUGCGCAUAUCAAGACUUCCUUCCGUAAUUCUGUACGAAGGAUAAAGUCAAGAAAAAAGCUUGCUAUUUGUGAAUUCGCAAGAAAAUCUCAAAUAAAUAUAGAAUUAUACAAAUAAAAUGUAAACACUAUACAUAUUAAACAUUAUCAUUACAUCAGUCAAGAUUGAUACAGUUGUGACAAGAAUUAACUAAAAAAGAAAUAUGUGUUAACACAGGGGUUCUCAACCUGUGGGUCGCGACCCCCUUGGGGGUCGACUGACGAUUUGCCAGGGGUCGCAUAAGACCGUCGAAAAUAUGGAUUGUUUUUGUCUAUUCUUCUAUUGCUGUGUGGGUGGGGGUCGCGCCAGAGUGGGGGAUUGUAAAAAGGGGGUCGCCGAGCAUAAAAGGUUGAGAACCGCUGUGUUAACCAAAAAAAACACCAUUGGCAUUUCUUAAAAUAUAAUAAAUUUAAAAAAAAACUGAAUAGUUCAGCAAUUAGUAAAAAUAAACAUAUGAAAUCAUGUGAUUGGCUAUCUAAGCCUCUGUAUUUUGCCUUCUAUAUUAAUUCAAUAUAGGUCCCUAAGAAAAAAAAAGCUCUUAUUGAAGACAGACGUAGAAGGCCAACAUAAAACUAAUAUCUAUCUGUAGGAAUUACUGAGACUAUGAAUUUUGUACAAGCCUAUAUAUAUUCCUUUUAUAAGUUGGAAAGUGACAAUUAUACGCCAUUAAAAUGAUGUCAAUCAAAUAAUUUUAAUAAGAUGUUCAUAUUUCUGGUCAAAACGUAAUUUAAAACGUGUAAUAUCUUUUAAUAUUUGAAAUAACGUCUGUAUUUUAUAAGAUACGAAGAUAAUAUUAAUCAUGAAUAUUAAAAGAAUAUGUAAUUUGAAAUACAAUCAUAAUUCACAUUUCAAAUCAGUUCACAUUCCAGUUCACAUGAUGUAUGAACGAUGAUGUGAUGGUGAUGUAAUGAUGCACAGUGGUGGUAAGACUUCUUGCUCUUUAGGGUGACGGAAGACUACAAGGCAAAAAAAAAUGAUUCCUAACGAGACAGUUGAGCCCAAGAAAAUCUGCCAACAAAGACAUGCGCUGACGAUGAAAAUAUAAGUUAAGACCCCGGUAGACCACGCGUGUCAACGUCACAUUUUAAAAAAAUAUGUAAGCCAAAUCUGAGUCUUGGCAGAUUAAAAAAAAAAAAUUCUCU